rnacentral:sRNA from 1 species
UGUUUGUGUCGAAGCUUCACAUGAUUGA